rnacentral:rRNA from 1 species
UACGAAGGGGACUAGCAUUGUUCGGAAUUACUGGGCGUAAAGCGCACGUAGGCGGAUUUGUUAGUCAGGGGUGAAAUCCCGGGGCUCAACCUCGGAACUGCCUUUGAUACUGCAAAUCUCGAGUCCGAUAGAGGUGGGUGGAAUUCCUAGUGUAGAGGUGAAAUUCGUAGAUAUUAGGAAGAACACCGGUGGCGAAGGCGGCCCACUGGAUCGGUACUGACGCUGAGGUGCGAAAGCGUGGGGAGCAAACAGG